UACGGAGGGUGCGAGCGUUGGCCGGAAUCACUGGGCGUAAAGGGCGCGUAGGCGGCAGGCCAAGCGUGCGGUGAAAGUCCGGGGCUCAACCCCGGAUCUGCCGUGCGGACUGGUUUGCUAGAGCACUGUAGAGGCGAGUGGAAUUCCGGGUGUAGCGGUGGAAUGCGUAGAGAUCCGGAAGAACACCGGUGGCGAAGGCGGCUCGCUGGGCAGUGGCUGACGCUGAGGCGCGACAGCGUGGGGAGCAAACAGG
rnacentral:rRNA from 1 species